GUGAGUGUAGCUCAAUGGUAGAGCACCGGACUGUGGCUCCGGAUGUUGCGGGUUCGAUCCCCGUCACUCACCCCA
rnacentral:tRNA from 1 species